rnacentral:lncRNA from 1 species
AUGCUGGGAACUUCAAGAGCAACCAGGCCUGUUCACAGUUCAGAGACAUGGGGACAGCCUCACCUGGAGCCCCGUGACGUGGACACCCUGCCUGCUCACUCUUCCUGCCCAGUGGAUGUGCACAGCAAGCUGAGCUGUGUGCAAGUCUCCUCUCCUCGGUCUCCGACACCUGCUCCAGGUGGCUCUUCUCUCCCACCCCCCGAACCCGAGGUCACGAAGCUGCUUUUGUUUGGUCACCAAUGGCACCCACAAAUAUGGGCAUUCAGAUAUACUGGAAAAAUACGUGGAUAGAUCCUUUUGUUAACAGGCAAAAUAAAAGGGGUCAUGUUAUAUAAAUGAGCUGCUUU